AACGAACGCUGGCGGCAUGCCUAACACAUGCAAGUCGAACGAGACCUUCGGGUUUAGUGGCGCACGGGUGCGUAACGCGGGGGAACCUGCCCUUAGGUUCGGAAUAACUCCCCGAAAGGGGUGCUAAUACCGGAUAAUGUCUUCGGACCAAAGAUUUAUCGCCUUUGGAUGGGCCCGCGUUGGAUUAGCUAGUUGGUAGGGUAAAAGCCUACCAAGGCGACGAUCCAUAGCUGGUCUGAGAGGAUGAUCAGCCACACUGGGACUGAGACACGGCCCAGACUCCUACGGGAGGCAGCAGUGGGGAAUAUUGGACAAUGGGCGCAAGCCUGAUCCAGCAAUGCCGCGUGAGUGAUGCAGGCCUUAGGGUUGUAAAGCUCUUUUACCCGGGAUGAUAAUGACAGUACCGGGAGAAUAAGCUCCGGCUAACUCCGUG
rnacentral:rRNA from 1 species